rnacentral:tRNA from 2 species
GGCAAGAUGGCCGAGUGGUUAAGGCGUACCGUUCAAGUUACAUGAACACUUGGAAAUUCCUAAGAAUUUCCUGUUCCGGUAUGGGGAAACCCGCGUGAGUUCGAGUCUCGCUCUUGUCA